rnacentral:rRNA from 1 species
CCUACGGGGGGCUGCAGUGGGGAAUAUUGGACAAUGGGCGAAAGCCUGAUCCAGCCAUGCCGCGUGUGUGAAGAAGGCCUUCGGGUUGUAAAGCACUUUCAGUGGGGAAGAAAGCCUUGGGGCUAAUACCCUCGAGGAAGGACAUCACCCACAGAAGAAGCACCGGCUAACUCCGUGCCAGCAGCCGCUGUAAUACGGAGGGUGCGAGCGUUAAUCGGAAUUACUGGGCGUAAAGCGCGCGUAGGCGGUCUGAUAAGCCGGUUGUGAAAGCCCCGGGCUCAACCUGGGAACGGCAUCCGGAACUGUCAGGCUAGAGUGCAGGAGAGGAAGGUAGAAUUCCCGGUGUAGCGGUGAAAUGCGUAGAGAUCGGGAGGAAUACCAGUGGCGAAGGCGGCCUUCUGGACUGACACUGACGCUGAGGUGCGAAAGCGUGGGUAGCAAACAGGAUUAGAUACCCUGGUAGUC